GCGCCGUUGCCGAGGUCGCCGAGGGCAGAGCGGUAACUGUUUAACUUGGUGCGGUCCUCGGCCAGCGCCUCUCCUCGGACGGCAGGGGCUCGAUUGCAUUCAGGAGGAACAAACAAAAACCUGAAGCAGUCAAGACACAGAACAAGAGCAGACGAGGUAACUCCAAAUACUUUCAGAGUGGGGAAUGCUUUUUUGGAGGAAAGAUCUGAUCAGAGCCUUAAAGGAUGCAAGAGUGCACAUUCUAAGAAAAUGAGAUAGAGAAAAAGAACCCAGAUGGUCUGCAGUAUCCUCACAAUUGCAGAAAGAACUUCAAGGUGUUCCCCUUGCAACCAGAACCAUAAAGGUGGCGGUGCCAUGGCGCCUCUGUUCUCAGAAGGAGUGGACCAGACCGUGAGGGUGGAGAAGGAAAAAUCCCUAAGUCCCUUUGGAUAAACGGCUCAGAGUGGUUGCAUUGCUUAAACAGUGGCUCAGCAGAGCCGUCUGCGUGAACAAGGACUGUCACCGUAAAUGAGAACUGUUCCAGCUAAUAAAUGAAGAAGGAAUGAUCGACUAGAUUACACUCAUUUGCAAACCCCUAAUGGGCUAUGCCGUAGACUAUCCACUCCCCACACAUGGUUACGAGACGUGGUAUAAGCACUGGUGUGCUGGUGUGCGGCAGGAGGGGGAGACAGCCAGGUGGCCCAUCAGUGAGCAGGAUUGAACCCUAAACAAAGGCUUAACUUCCAUUUGGUUCACCGCUGAACAGAAACCAUUUCUUAUGGGAGGAGACACGUCUACAUUCUGACAAAAGCGAUUUUCUAGGGAUGGCAGUCCUGACCUAACCCCUGAUUCUCCAUGCCCUUCCCUUCACCAGCAGUACCAGAACCUUCACUGUCAGCAUGGAGGUGCUGGGAACUUUGGGACCUGGGCAGGAAGCUGAACGCAGCAGAAGUGGACCAGGAGCUGGGGCUCGGGUGCUGGGUCCUUCCAGUCGGAGCUGGAGACCCUGAGCAAGGCACCUACCUGCUCUGAGCCUUGAUGCCCCUUUCUGUUAAAUAGGAAUAAUACCUGACAGGCUCAGCUGUCUACAAACGCAUCCUAUAAAGUGGUACACUCAUGUCAACUGUUGCUGUCAUUGAAAAGUAAA